rnacentral:rRNA from 1 species
AUGCCGUGAGACGUCCUACCGGUGGGCUUAGCUCUUCACCGGGCGGUCCANCUAAUAUCCCAUCGCGGUGCUCUUCAUURAGUGUCGAGGUGGGCCGGUACGUUUACUUUGAACAAAUUAKAGUGCUUAAAGCAGGCUAUCUUCGCCUGAAUACUGUGUGCAUGGAAUAAUGGAAUAGGACCUCGGUUCUAUUUUGUUGGUKUUCGGAACCCCGAGGUAAUGAUUAAUAGGGACAGAUGGGGGCAUUWGUAUUGCGACGUUAGAGGUGAAAUUCUUGGAUCGUCGCAAGACGGACAGAAGCGAAAGCAUUUGCCAAAAAUGUUUUCAUUAAUCAAGAACGAAAGUUAGAGGUUCGAAGGCGAUCASAUACCGCCCUAGUUCUAACCAUAAACGAUGCCAGCUAGCGAUCCGCCGAAGUUCCUCCGAUGACUCGGCGGGCASCUUCCGGGAAACCHAAGCUUUUGGGUUCCGGGGGAAGUAUGGUUGCAAAGCUGAAACUUAAAGGAAUUGACGGAAGGGCACCACCAGGAGUGGAGCCUGCGGCUUAA